AAGUCGUAACAAGGUUUCCGUAGGUGAACCUGCGGAAGGAUCAUUACUGAAGCAGUUAGGGUUGUAGCUGACUCUGUCAAAGGAGUACUGUGCUCGCUCUAUUCUUCUACUUUUCCCCCUGUGCACCUUUUGUAGGCUAUGAUAUCCAUCGUGUGUGUGAGCUUUUUUGCUUUCAUUACCGGUUUCAAGGGAUUGCUGUUAUGGCUCCCCUUGCCCUUCAUAUGCCUAUGUCCUUUAUACACUCUUUUAAACAAGUCUAGAAUGUCUUUUUGUGGGUCUAUUGACCUAUAAACUUAAUACAACUUUCAACAACGGAUCUCUUGGCUCUC
rnacentral:misc_RNA from 1 species